rnacentral:rRNA from 1 species
AUAACUACCAGAUCAUCAGCAUACUCUACCUCGAUUCAUCAUUUCAAACUUCACAUUGAAGGUUUUUCGGUAUCAACUCCUUCUAUCUAUACCGCAGUUGAAGCACCUACAUGUAAAUCUUGUGUCUUUCUUGUCGGUAAUGGGGGUAAUCGUCCUUACCAUUGUAAAAUAAAAGCAUGUGGCUUUGCACAUUCACAAGAACUCGAUUGUUCUGGUAUCUGUCGCCUCUCCUCUUUCUCACUAGGAUUGAUGCCCACAUAG